UCCCCAGCGGUCGCGCCCUAUGGCUGCUCUCUGGAAUCUUUUUCAGCCUCUGGGUUCCUCAUCUCCCCCUUUCGGCUCCCCAGCUUCAAAGGUGCCCCGCCAGGAAUUGUACGUGCAGACCCCCAGCUUAAAGGCAGGCGGCCACACCCGGCCAGCGAGUGUCGCCCAGGCACCUGCUUUUGUCGGGCGGACCCACCCUUCCAGGCGGUUCCGGCGCGCUGUGCCUCCGCAGGCUGCUCACUAAGAGCGCGGCGGCCUGGAGCCCAGUAGCGCGCGGGUGUGGUGAGCGCUACGCUUCCGGCGUCUGCCAGGACAGGGUCGGGGAUCUAGAGAUGCCGCCCAGGAGGUAUUGGGCGCCAGGGGAAAGAGAAGAGCCUGGCACGGAAGAGACAAGGUCUUCUCUGUUGCAGCUGCCGCAGCUAGAGCCCACCAAAGUUAACCAGCUGACGAAUGCCCAGGGAUGCCCUGCCCAAAAGCUCUCGGCUCCCGAAGGAACCCAGGUUUAAGAACAGAACGGGAGGCUGCAGACCAGUGUUCGGAAAUACCAGCUGUCUCUGGGACUCAACCCAGGCAGAGGUGAGGGAGAUGAGGGGAAAGAAACUAUCGCAGAACAACAGGUGUACCGACAGAAAGAAAACAGAUUGGGUGACAGAGCCAGGAGCCCUGCGGAGUAGAGGACACUUAGAGAAUUCUUCCAUCACAAAGUAAGACCGAUGAAGAGGCUAAUUGCAACAGACCUCUCCAGAAGAGAAAAGCGGCCUGAGU